rnacentral:rRNA from 1 species
UGCCAGCAGCCGCGGUUAAACCAAGAAAUUUAGUCAUUCUUUAAUGGUAAAAAGACAGUUAGGCAAAGAUAAGUGAAACUAUUGGAUCUUUAGUAGAGGAGUAAAAUCUAAAUACUAAAAGCUACAUCAAACAUAGUUUAUUUAAGAUGUUGAAUCUGUGACAGCUUUAAGGGAAACUGGGAUUGGAUACCCCAUUAUUUUUAGUUAUAAAUUUAGUUUAAGCUUACCAGAGUACUACGAAUAAAAAGUUUAAAACUCAAAGGGCUUGGCGGUGUUUUAGACCUCUCAGGGGAACCUGUCUCAUAAUCGACAAUCCACGUUAAACCUAACCUUUUAUAGUAAUACAGCUUGUAUACCGUCGUCGUCAGGUAACUUCUUAAAAUAUAGUAGUUAGCUUGAGAAUUUGAUUAAUUAAAACGUCAGAUCAAGGUGCAGCUAAUGAAAAGGUGAGGAUGGGUUACAAUUACAUAUUUGUAAACACGGAAAAACACUUGAAAUGAAGCGUCUUAAAGGAGGACUUGAAAGUAAUUUUGGUUAUAUAGGCAGAAUGAAUAAGGCUCUGAAACGUGCACACAUCGCCCGCCACUCU